GGCAGCGUAGCUCAAUGGUAGAGCGCCUCCCUUUCACGGAGGAAGAGAGGGUUUGAUUCCGUCCGCUGCCACCA
rnacentral:tRNA from 2 species